UACGGGGGGGGCAAGCGUUGUUCGGAAUUACUGGGCGUAAAGGGCUCGUAGGCGGCCAACUAAGUCGGAUGUGAAAUCCCCAGGCUUAACCUGGGAACUGCAUCCGAUACUGGAUGGCUUGAAUCCGGGAGAGGGAUGCAGAAUUCCAGGUGUAGCGGUGAAAUGCGUAGAUAUCUGGAGGAAUACCGGUGGCGAAGGCGGCAUCCUGGACCGGCAUUGACGCUGAGGCGCGAAAGCUAGGGUAGCAAACGGG
rnacentral:rRNA from 1 species